AUACGGAGGAUCCGAGCGUUAUCCGGAUUUAUUGGGUUUAAAGGGAGCGUAGGCGGAUGUUUAAGUCAGUUGUGAAAGCUUAAGGCUCAACCUUGAAAUUGCAGUUGAUACUGGACGUCUUGAGUGUAUUAAAUGUGGGCGGAAUUCGUGGUGUAGCGGUGCAAUGCUUAGAUAUCACGAAGAACUCCAAUUGCGAAGGCAGCUCACAGGACUGUAACUGACGCUGAUGCUCGAAAGUGUGUGUAUCAAACAGGAUUAGAUACCCUGGUAGUCCACAGAAUAAACGAUGAAUACGCGCUGUUUGCGAUAUACAGUGAGCGGCCGAGCGAAAACGUUAAGUAUUCCACCUGGGAGGUACGCCGGCAACGGUGA
rnacentral:rRNA from 1 species